CUACGGGUUGCAGCAGUAGGGAAUUUUCCACAAUGGGCGCAAGCCUGAUGGAGCAACGCCGCGUGCAGGAUGAAGGCCCUCGGGUCGUAAACUGCUUUUUUCUGUGAUGAAUAUGACAGUAACAGACGAAUAAGGAUCGGCUAACUCCGUGCCAGCAGCCGCGGUCAUACGGAGGAUCCAAGCGUUAUCCGGAAUUACUGGGCGUAAAGAGUUGCGUAGGUGGUUUGUUAAGUAAGGCAUGAAAUCGUGUGGCUCAACCAUACGGCUAUGCUUUAAACUGGCAGACUUGAAGAUGAGAGAGGUUAUUGGAAUUCCCAGUGUAGGAGUGAAAUCCGUAGAUAUUGGGAGGAACACCGAUGGCGUAGGCAGAUAACUGGCUCAUUCUUGACACUAAGGCACGAAAGCGUGGGUAGCAAACGGGAUUAGAUACCCGUGUAGUC
rnacentral:rRNA from 1 species